UACGUAGGGUGCAAGCGUUAAUCGGAAUUACUGGGCGUAAAGCGUGCGCAGGCGGUUGUGCAAGACUGAUGUGAAAUCCCCGGGCUCAACCUGGGAACUGCAUUUGUGACUGCACGGCUAGAGUGUGUCAGAGGGGGGUAGAAUUCCACGUGUAGCAGUGAAAUGCGUAGAUAUGUGGAGGAAUACCGAUGGCGAAGGCAGCCCCCUGGGAUAACACUGACGCUCAUGCACGAAAGCGUGGGGAGCAAACAGG
rnacentral:rRNA from 1 species